rnacentral:rRNA from 1 species
GCGGGAGCAAUCCUGGCGGCGAGUGGCGAACGGGUGAGUAAUACAUCGGAACGUGCCCAAUCGUGGGGGAUAACGCAGCGAAAGCUGUGCUAAUACCGCAUACGAUCUACGGAUGAAAGCAGGGGAUCGCAAGACCUUGCGCGAAUGGAGCGGCCGAUGGCAGAUUAGGUAGUUGGUGAGGUAAAGGCUCACCAAGCCUUCGAUCUGUAGCUGGUCUGAGAGGACGACCAGCCACACUGGGACUGAGACACGGCCCAGACUCCUACGGGAGGCAGCAGUGGGGAAUUUUGGACAAUGGGCGAAAGCCUGAUCCAGCCAUGCCGCGUGCAGGAUGAAGGCCUUCGGGUUGUAAACUGCUUUUGUACGGAACGAAACGGCCUUUUCUAAUAAAGAGGGCUAAUGACGGUACCGUAAGAAUAAGCACCGGCUAACUACGUGCCAGCAGCCGCGGUAAUACGUAGGGUGCAAGCGUUAAUCGGAAUUACUGGGCGUAAAGCGUGCGCAGGCGGUUAUGUAAGACAGUUGUGAAAUCCCCGGGCUCAACCUGGGAACUGCAUCUGUGACUGCAUAGCUAGAGUACGGUAGAGGGGGAUGGAAUUCCGCGUGUAGCAGUGAAAUGCGUAGAUAUGCGGAGGAACACCGAUGGCGAAGGCAAUCCCCUGGACCUGUACUGACGCUCAUGCACG